GGCAGGGUUGCCUAAUGGAGAGAGACUGGUCCUGGGAAUCAGGAGGAUUUGAGUUCAAAUCUCAGCUCUGCCA
rnacentral:tRNA from 1 species